UUAAGUUCAGCGGGUAGUCCUACCUGAUUUGAGGUCAGAGCACAAAAUAUGGGGGGUUGUGAGCAAGAGUCGGCGCAGCACCAGACGAAACUUAUUACGUCAGGCAAUGGCUUAUCCCACUAAGUCUUUUAAGGCGAGCCGAGACCGGCAACGCCCAAAUCCAAGCCACCCGGAAACCCGGGGGUUGAAGGUUUCAUGAC
rnacentral:misc_RNA from 1 species